rnacentral:misc_RNA from 1 species
UUAAGUUCAGCGGGUAUCCCUACCUGAUCCGAGGUCAAACUUAAAAAAAUUGGGGGUUGCUGGCAAGCACACACCCGGCCUCCAAAGCGAGAAGAAUUACUACGCUCGGAGCCAGAUGGCACCGUCACUGAUUUUAGGGCUCGCCGGGUCGGCGGGGCCCAAUACCAAGCAGAGCUUGAGGGUUGUUAAUGACGCUCGAA